GACGAACGCUGGCGGCGUGCCUAAUACAUGCAAGUCGAGCGAAGUUUUUCUGGUGCUUGCACUAGAAAAACUUAGCGGCGAACGGGUGAGUAACACGUAAAGAACCUGCCUCAUAGACGGGGACAACUAUUGGAAGCGAUAGCUAAUACCGGAUAACAGCAUAAAUCGCAUGAUAUAUGUUUAAAAGUUGGUUUCGGCUAACACUAUGAGAUGGCUUUGCGGUGCAUUAGCUAGUUGGUGGGGUAAAGGCCUACCAAGGCGACGAUGCAUAGCCGACCUGAGAGGGUGAUCGGCCACACUGGGACUGAGACACGGCCCAGACUCCUACGGGAGGCAGCAGUAGGGAAUCUUCCGCAAUGGGCGAAAGCCUGACGGAGCAACGCCGCGUGAGUGAAGAAGGAUUUCGGUUCGUAAAGCUCUGUUGUUAGGGAAGAAUGAUUGUAUAGUAACUAUAUACAGUAGAGACGGUACCUAACCAGAAAGCCACGGCUAACUACGUGCCAGCAGCCGCGGUAAUACGUAGGUGGCAAGCGUUGUCCGGAAUUAUUGGGCGUAAAGCGCGCGCAGGUGGUUUAAUAAGUCUGAUGUGAAAGCCCACGGCUCAACCGUGGAGGGUCAUUGGAAACUGUUAAACUUGAGUGCAGGAGAGAAAAGUGGAAUUCCUAGUGUAGCGGUGAAAUGCGUAGAGAUUAGGAGGAACACCAGUGGUGGAGGCGGCUUUUUGGCCUGUAACUGACACUGAGGCGCGAAAGCGUGGGGAGCAAACAUG
rnacentral:rRNA from 1 species